ACGGAAGGCAGCAGUGGGGGAUAUUGCACAAUGGGGGAAACCCUGAUGCAGCGACGCCGCGUGAGUGAAGAAGUAUUUCGGUAUGUAAAGCUCUAUCAGCAGGAAAGAUAAUGACGGUACCUGACUAAGAAGCACCGGCUAAAUACGUGCCAGCAGCCGCGGUAAUACGUAUGGUGCAAGCGUUAUCCGGAUUUACUGGGUGUAAAGGGAGCGCAGACGGCAUGGCAAGCCAGAUGUGAAAGGCAGGGGCUCAACUCCUGGACUGCAUUUGGAACUGUCAAGCUAGAGUAUAGGAGAGGUAAGUGGAAUUCCUAGUGUAGCGGUGAAAUGCGUAGAUAUUAGGAGGAACACCAGUGGCGAAGGCGGCUUACUGGACGAUAACUGACGUUGAGGCUCGAAAGCGUGGGGAGCAAACAGGAUUAGAUACCCUGGUA
rnacentral:rRNA from 1 species